rnacentral:rRNA from 1 species
GACGAACGCUGGCGGCGUGCUUAACACAUGCAAGUCGAACGGUGAAGCGCUUUCCUUUUUGGUUGGUGUGGAUGAGUGGCGAACGGGUGAGUAACACGUGAGUAACCUGCCCCCUUCUUCUGGAUAACCGCAUGAAAGUGUGGCUAAUACGGGAUAUUCUGCGCCUGCUGCAUGGUGGGUGUGGGAAAGAUUGUGCCUUUGGGUGUUUUCGGUGGGGGAUGGGCUCGCGGCCUAUCAGCUUGUUGGUGGGGUGAUGGCCUACCAAGGCGGUGACGGGUAGCCGGACUGAGAGAGUGGACGGUCACACUGGGACUGAGACACGGCCCAGACUCCUACGGGAGGCAGCAGUGGGGAAUAUUGCACAGUGGGCGCAAGCCUGAUGCAGCGACGCCGCGUGAGGGAUGGAGGCCUUCGGGGUGUGAACCUCUUUCGCCAGUGAAGCAGGCCUGCUCCUUGUGGGUGGGUUGACGGUAGCUGGAUAAGAAGCGCCGGCUAACUACGUG